CCCAGUUUGCUCAUGUAGAUCUCAUCGAUUUCUGUUUUGCUGGGCUAUCUAUGUGUCUCUCUUAGGGUCCUCCUUGUUAGCUAGCUGCUCUGGAGCGGUGGACAACCCCUAAUACUUUCGGGAAACAAACAGUGACAGAGGAUGGAGAUGCAUGCAAUGAAGCCACACUGGGAAAGAGAAGAGAGGGUCCUGUGGUUCACACCCCAGACCACUGUGAGAGGUUACAUUUAGACAAUGGGCAAGAGGGAAGCCCAGUCCCUGCGGAGUGUGCUCCCACCCUGGGCAGCCUCUGAGCUCCAGACAAGAUGGUCUAACAAGCAGCCUCUCUCUCUCAGACAAGUUCCUCUUCUGUCUCGCACUGAGCCCCUUCCUUCUCCCAGCAUGCCACUCCUGGGGAAAUUCCAAUUCCGUGGGGUGCAUUGUUUCAGUAGUCCAGCAGCCGGCGGGAAAAUGGCACUUCCUCCUACCAGGAAGGUUACAAGAUCACCCAGAAAGGCACCGCCUACUGUCUUCCCAGUAGCACUUAUUCUAACCGGGGUUCCUAAGAAAAUGUGGGUGAGCGCUCACACUACACGUGCCCUGGGUUCCCUUCUUUAUUCCUUGUGAAAUCUUUUUGUAUGUGUGUUGUGUUUUGUACCUCCCUGAGGACCUAUGGGCUGGUAAUGGCAGCUGGGGGAAGAAGAGACCUUCUCUUCAAUGGUGUAGCCGCUGGUAAAUCCCCUGUGCUUCUCCACUGGUGUCCACUCAAGGAGGUGGGGAGAGGAAUCAUCUUUUUGUUGACUUCUCUGCUGCCUAAAGAUAAGGUUUAAAAGAAAUGAAAACGCAUGUUGUUAGAGGCCACAUCGUGGAUACCAACAUCAGGCUCGCAGCAACCCAGCCAGUUUCUCUGCGGCUACCUCCACUCUUACGUCAUCUGUACAGCAUAUAUAACGUAGCCGGAGUUCUCUUCCUUCUAGUACAUGUGGAUUGAACCUGGAACCUCAUUCAUAUUAGGCAAAUGCCCUACCACCGAACUACAUCUCCAGCCUGUGGAUUCUGGGUUUUCAUCUGUAUCUCAUAAGGGCAUGUCUGGCAUGCUGCCAGUACUGUUUUGUAUCUGUGUAUACCUGGGUAUGUGUAUUUUAGUUGUUGGCUUAUGCUAGAGACUGAACUCAACGUCUCCUGCUCUCCCACA